UUCAGUAACCUGUGCCACGCACAGAGCGGGAUGUACUUACUAACCAUCUGCUUGCAUGGCACGGGUUAACUGAGCCUGUGGGAUUGUGCUUACCUAAACAAAACCACUGCAGUGAGGGGAAAAACAAUGAAUGGGUGGAGAUGAUCAGCCCAUGCAUUCCAGCUAGUGCAGUCCAGGCAGCCUGAAGGUUGCAGCAGCAUCGGGAUCGGCAUUCCAAGUGCACUGAUCUUACAGUCUGGAGUGAUUUUGUGUGGAGCUGCUCUUUAUUUGCUGAGCCAUGGCCAGUAACCAGGCCAGCCUGCAGGAUGAUCAGAGCAGGCACUGCAAGUUCUUAUCCUAUAUGUUCUACCAGGCUGUGAGAGAUCACAAGCCUGUGUGGAUGCUGGAAGACAUGAGAACUAUGGAAUAUUUUUACUGGGAGGAAAAUGCCAGCCUACGAACCUACUCACCUUCAGAAGCCCUUCUCUAUGCAGUGGUGCAUAAUCACCUGCCUUAUGCUCAGUAUCUGCUGUCUCAUUUUCCAGAGGAGGCUCUCAAGGUGCCUGGGGAACACUUCUGCUAUUGCCCAUCCUCUGCUCCUCAUUUGGCCAUGGCGGUCACAUAUGACAGGAGAGAUAUCUUGGGACUGAUCAUCAAAAUUGCACACAAGCUCCCCAGCUUGAACUCCUACAUCAAUAGGGCUGGCUGCUUUCAUCUGGAAGAUGGGAAAACCCCCCUGCACCUUGCCUGUGAACUGCUGAGGUCAGAGACGGUCCUCAUCCUCCUUGGGAAUGGAGCCUCUCCCAGGAUAGAGGACAGUAAAGGGCUUACCCCUCUGGACGUCAUCCUGGAGCAGAUGUGGGACUCCAAAGUCAAUGUUGCAUCAAAGAAGCUCUGCCUCGACUACCUCCUUCUCUUCAUGCCCAACCCACAGUUUAAGAUGCGGAAAGUUCUGCAGGAGCAUCCAGACCACUGGACAGCUUUGCUGGGAGAAGACAAAUUCAACAGCCUGGUGGGGAACACACCUGCUUCUUUAUAUCUGCAAGCUAUGCAAACUAUUCUUCAGACUCUUCCCCCUUCUCACUUCCCUAAAAGCAUCCAGGAACUACCUAUACCUCAGGCACUAAAGCCCUUACCAUCCUAUGGCAAAAAGCUACCGACAAAAAAUGUGGUAAAUGUUUUUCCUUGACUUUAUUCGCUGGGUCUUGGAUUUUCAAAGGCAACUUAGGGGAGCUGGUCAUCCACCGCCCUCUGCAUUUUAAUGUGAUUUUAGUACUUAACCUAUUAGGCUAUGCUGGAAAAUCCAAUAUUUUGUGACAAGAUUUUAAAUGUCUUUUCUAACCGAUUGCAGGCACGGCACUUUUAAAGGCAGAAGCCUUCCUUGUUCUCUGUUUUGUUGUGCAUGUGAAGGGUUAACUGUAGUCGAGACUGUGUUAUGUUUGGUUUCUUAGCUGUCAACUGGUAUCAGUGUAUCUGAAUUCCCAAUAUGAUAACUCUAUCCCAUGUAAUGUACCUGGGUAAAAAGGAACACACUGGGCAUGUGGGAUUUACCCACACGCCCAAUGGGAUUUUCAAAUGGUGUAACUAUGGGACUGUGUUCUGCUAGAGCUGGGAGAAACACCAUUCUCUACCAACAGGGUUCACACGUCAGGUUUCCUUUCUAACAAUGAUCUAGCAUCAUCUACUAAUAACCACAAAGUCCAUGGCUGAUGCUGCAGGGAAGCAGAGGCAAUCCUGCAGGGUACCUGAUUUUACCAAGAUACUUUACAGCAGGUCAUGUGGAGGGCAUGAGUUCAGAGAGGGGCAGUGAGUGUAUAUUCCUGGGGGAUUGGGGUAUAGAAACCCACAGAACAGCUGACAGAAAGCAUCCUGUCUCACCUGGGAAUGAGAGGGUUAAAGACAAUCCCAGCCCUGAUGCCUCUACAGACCUGUGCAGUGGGGAAGGAACCAUUUUCCUUGUUGCCCAGUAAACAAAUGGCAAUUGGAGCAGGGCCAGUGGAAGCCCUGUCCUUCAUAAGUGACACUAUUUCUCUCUGACUUGUGUUUUAGAACAUAUCUCUACAGGAGAUGUAGCUCACUAACUUGGUUUCCCAGUGGGUCUCAGAGCCACCAGCACUUGUUAGUUAUCCUAAACUGGGGUGUGAUGUUCUGCUGUCAAAAGUUGUUCCUUGCUGUCAAUUAGAGUAUUUUUGCCACCCGGGUCCAGACAGAGAGUCUGACCCUGGAAAUGACAAAAAGUUCCCACUGACUGGGCACUGCAGGCAGGGUGUGUUUGCAGAAAGUGGGUUUGGGGCUUCCCCGCCUUCUGGGUAGCUCUGAACCUCACUGCUCAGGCAGAGCCAUCUCUGUUCAAGGCACUGGUCCUGCUCUCCUGGCUGUUCUCAGCACCAGUGGAGCAGCAGUGGUAGAGCCCCCACUCCCUCUGGGGGACAUCCCUUAUUUUGGACCCCAGUGUUCUCCUCUCUUUGUAAGCCCGACCCUCUGUUCUGCUGGAGUAGUGUAACUCAAUUCCCAGAUCCGCACUGAGCAGCAGUGAAGAACUCCGCUCUUCAACUGAACUUGGAGCCAAAGUCUGUAGGGCACAAAACCCUUUUAGCAAGACUCUGGCUAAGAAAGGAUGUUUAGUCACAUCUCAAUUGCUUUGUGCAAAAAUGGCUCAUGUCUCAUCUGGCUAAUUCCCCGCCUGUGCCACAGAGGCCGUACUGGACUCUUUUUUCCCAUCAGUACAGGGAGCACUUCCACUCAGUUUCCCUCUGCAUGGGGUACCUCCUGUAUGCCAGGGCACUGGUGAUGCCAGGCAUGGCCAGGUGGAGAUUUCCUGUGGGAAUGCACAACAAGUCAGUCACAGCAAACUGGAACAUGCUUUCUGAGACCCUGGGGUGCUCCUCCCAGCCUUUCUUUCCCACAUGCCAUAGGAGGACCUCAGUGCCAGUGCCACCUGAGCUAGGCAGGUGAAUAUGCAGGAUUGCUUGUGAGGCGGAGAAAAUGUCAGCCGGGCCCUAAAAGUGGCAAGCAGGCCAUGAAGGGGUUAACCCUUCUGAAAUCCCACAUCCCUGGUUCUGCAGUGUCCUUCUGCCCCUGCCCCUGGGGACUUGCAUGUCUUUCUCCAUCUGUGUCUAUUCCUCCUUGUUCAGUGGGAGAGGCUGUGAACGGGGAAAUUCAGGGUCAAUCUUGGGUGAGGGUUUUGCAGGGAGGCUGCUCCCUCAGCAGGCUUUGCUGCAGACAGAGGCUGUCACAGCUUGGGACUCAAAGCAGGGCCCAAGGCAGAUUUGCAUCAUAAGCGGUGGCUCAGCUGCUUCUGCCAAGCCCUGCAGGCUCCCAAGCCCUGGAACAUACUCCCCACCCCUCCCCACAAAAACCUGAAGCUCAAGACAGAGGACAGUGCAGGUGCUCGCUGCCCAUGACUGACCAGAGCAACUGUGCAGAGCAUGGCCCCUGUGGUACCCCUGGAGUCCAGAGGAGUAGGAUUGGGUUUGUUCCCAGUAGCACUGCGGUAUCUCAUCCGGAUGUCGGUGGGGGAGGCUGGAGGAGGCUGG